rnacentral:tRNA from 1 species
GCCUCGGUGGUCUAAUUGCUCAGGACGCUCGUAUGGAAUACAAGAAAUCCGGGUUUGACUCCCGGCCGAGGUA